AACUGAGACACGGUCCCGANUCNUACGGGGGGCAGCAGUGAGGAAUAUUGCACAAUGGACGAAAGUCUGAUGCAGCAACGCCGCGUGGAGGAUGAAGGCCCUUGGGUUGUAAACUCCUUUUUUCAGGGAAGAGAAUGGACGGUACCUGAAGAAUAAGUCACGGCUAACUACGUGCCAGCAGCCGCGGUAAUACGUAGGUGGCAAGCGUUAUCCGGAAUUACUGGGCGUAAAGCGCACGCAGGCGGCUCUUUAAGUUUGACGUGAAAGCUCCCGGCUUAACUGGGAGAGGUCGUUGAAUACUGAGGAGCUUGAGGCAAUGAGAGGGGUGUAGAAUUCCCGGUGUAGUGGUGGAAUGCGUAGAUAUCGGGGGGAAUACCAGUGGCGAAAGCGGCACCCUAGCAUUAGCCUGA
rnacentral:rRNA from 1 species